AACAUAAUCUUAACAAAAAUUGGCUUUUUGAGACUUGUGUGAAGCUGUAAAAUGAUAUGUAACGUAGCAGGAAAAAAUGACGGGGGAAAGUAAUUGUGAAAGGAAAUACCUUUCCCUCCUUUCCAUUAUUGCAUACAUGAGACCAAAAUGAUUUAAAUUUAACCAAUUAGCACUCCCAGAUAAGUUACUAAAAAGCUCAUUCAUUAAAGUUGAUACUAGCUUGGUAAAUCAAAUAACUAAUUUCUCAAUCUGUAUGGGCAGUACCGGCCAGAAAUUUAGAGUGUUUUAAUCCCAACAUAUCUGGAAGACACCAGAUAAGGCAGUUCUCAACUUGCAAGCAUUUCUUUCGUGAUCAACUAUUGCAGCAUCUCAGUGGUGGAAUUCAGCCAGUUCGCACCACUUCGGGAGAACCGGUUGUUAACUUUUGGAGCAGUUUGGCAGAUUGGUUGUUGGAAGAAAUCAUUAGGGCAGAGAACCGGUUGUUAAAUUACUUGAAUCCCACCACUGCAGCAUCUCCAUGGUCGGUGAUGAACAUUUGGCUGUUCGAUAACUGGCAUGUAUUUAUGAUGGUUGAAGUAGUCCCAGGGUCAUGUGAUCACUUUUUGUGACUUUUGGCGAAGCACUGUCAGCGCUUUUGUUGGCAGUGGUCUCAGCAACUCUGCAGGAAUUCCAUCAACUCCUCGGACUUUGCAGUUUGGCAACUGGUUGAAUGCUCAAACUACUUCCUCCUCCAAAAGAUCUGGUUCUAUUUCUGAUACUAAGAUUGUUGGAUGAGCAGGCAGAAAAACAGCCAUGGAAAUGAUUGAACCCUGGGAAACAGAAUGCUCGUCAAUCAACAGGAUUUACCCCCACUUUAUCAAAUACUUAGAAGGCAAGAGCUUGGCAGCACAAUGAAACGACUUAAUAGCCAGCCAUCAAUACCCCAAUCUACAUCUAAAAACCUACACACAACAGGCACCAUAUAAAUACCCUGAGGUUCCCAGUUCCCUGAGGAUGGGGGUACAACAUGAAUCUGAAAGCACAGAAGACAAAAUCUCUGGUCCCUUGACCAAUCCAAAUUGGAUCCCGCAACCUUAUGAUUGAAGUUUGGCUUCUAAUUAUAAUGAAGAGUUGCUAUGGCUUUGCAGUUAAAUGCUCCAGUGUUUGGGACAUAAAUAUUGAAAUAUUAAAAUGUAUGAUUGUAUGAAUGCUUUUUUAACUCCAACACUGGAGAGUCAUAUAUUAUUGCUGAACCUCUAAGAAUCUUGUAAAAGCCCUGCAUCAACUCUUUUUCAGCUAUCAGUAUCUUUCAAAACAUCUUAAUAAGAUUUACUCAACCUAAUUUAUAUAAUUUGUGUGAUGACAUACGAUAUGUGUUGUCCAGCAUGAAACCUGAUACCUAUUAAGAAUAUCUGGAGAAGACACAAGUUACAGAGGACCCAUCUGAACCAGUGGUGGGUUGCUACCGGUUUGCCUCAGAUCGGGCAAACCGGUAGUG